rnacentral:rRNA from 1 species
AUUGAACGCUGGCGGCAGGCUUUACACAUGCAAGUCGAGCGGGGUGAUGGUGCUUGCACUAUCACUUAGCGGCGGACGGGUGAGUAAUGCUUAGGAAUCUGCCUAUUAGUGGGGACAACAUCUCGAAAGGGAUGCUAAUACCGCAUACGUCCUACGGGAGAAAGCAGGGGAUCACUUGUGACCUUGCGCUAAUAGAUGAGCCUAAGUCGGAUUAGCUAGUUGGUGGGGUAAAGGCCUACCAAGGCGGCGAUCUGUAGCGGGUCUGAGAGGAUGGUCCGCCACACUGGGACUGAGACACGGCCCAGACUCCUACGGGAGGCAGCAGUGGGGAAUAUUGGACAAUGGGGGGAACCCUGAUCCAGCCAUGCCGCGUGUGUGAAGAAGGCCUUAUGGUUGUAAAGCACUUUAAGCGAGGAGGAGGCUCUUUUGGUUAAUACCCAAGAUGAGUGGACGUUACUCGCAGAAUAAGCACCGGCUAACUCUGUGCCAGCCGCCGCUGUAA